UACGGAGGGGGCUAGCGUUGUUCGGAAUUACUGGGCGUAAAGCGCGCGUAGGCGGACCUGCAAGUCGGGGGUGAAAGCCCGAGGCUCAACCUCGGAACUGCCUUCGAUACUGCGGGUCUCGAGUCCGGGAGAGGUGAGUGGAAUUCCUAGUGUAGAGGUGAAAUUCGUAGAUAUUGGGAGGAACACCAGUGGCGAAGGCGGCUCACUGGACCGGUACUGACGCUGAGGCGCGAAAGCGUGGGUAGCAAACAGG
rnacentral:rRNA from 1 species